rnacentral:piRNA from 1 species
CUGGGAAUGAGCAGCUCAGGUGGGCAGCAGC